AGGCGACGACGGGUAGCCGGCCUGAGAGGGUGACCGGCCACACUGGGACUGAGACACGGCCCAGACUCCUACGGGAGGCAGCAGUGGGGAAUAUUGCACAAUGGGCGAAAGCCUGAUGCAGCGACGCCGCGUGAGGGAUGACGGCCUUCGGGUUGUAAACCUCUUUCAGUAGGGAAGAAGCGAAAGUGACGGUACCUGCAGAAGAAGCGCCGGCUAACUACGUGCCAGCAGCCGCGGUAAUACGUAGGGCGCAAGCGUUAUCCGGAAUUAUUGGGCGUAAAGAGCUCGUAGGCGGUUUGUCGCGUCUGCCGUGAAAGUCCGGGGCUCAACUCCGGAUCUGCGGUGGGUACGGGCAGACUAGAGUGAUGUAGGGGAGACUGGAAUUCCUGGUGUAGCGGUGAAAUGCGCAGAUAUCAGGAGGAACACCGAUGGCGAAGGCAGGUCUCUGGGCAUUAACUGACGCUGAGGAGCGAAAGCAUGGGGAGCGAACAGGAUUAGAUACCCUGGUAGUCCAUGCCGUAAACGUUGGGCACUAGGUGUGGGGGACAUUCCACGUUUUCCGCGCCGUAGCUAACGCAUUAAGUGCCCCGCCUGGGGAG
rnacentral:rRNA from 2 species